UACGUAGGGCGCAAGCGUUGUCCGGAAUUAUUGGGCGUAAAGAGCUCGUAGGCGGUUUGUCGUGUCUGCUGUGAAAACCUAAGGCUCAACCUUGGGCUUGCAGUGGGUACGGGCAGACUAGAGUGCGGUAGGGGUGACUGGAAUUCCUGGUGUAGCGGUGGAAUGCGCAGAUAUCAGGAGGAACACCGAUGGCGAAGGCAGGUCACUGGGCCGCAACUGACGCUGAGGAGCGAAAGCAUGGGGAGCGAACAGG
rnacentral:rRNA from 1 species